GAUGAAGAACGUAGCGAAGUGCGAUAAUUAAUGUGAAUUGCAGAAUUCCGUGAAUCAUCGAGUCUUUGAACGCACAUUGCGCCUCAUGGCAUUCCGUGAGGCAUGCCCAUCUCAGCGUUAGAAAAUAUUCUCAAAUUUUAGUUUUGUGCUAAAAUUUGGAUCAUGUCAAAGAAGCUAUUACUAUUAUUGUGAUCGCUCUUUGGAAAUUGAUAGGUCUUUGAGUUGCUACUCAUAGAACGUGAUGAAUCUUUCUUCGUUCUAUUGUAAUUCACUCUGGUAGUCCUAAAACUUGUAUGCCUGUGGCAUAUCUUGUAAUUUGACCUGAGAUUGGGUAGGGAUACCCGCUGAACUUAAGCAUAUCAAUAAGCGGAGGA
rnacentral:misc_RNA from 1 species